UUAAACCAACGUUAAAAGACAAUAAAAACAUCUAUUUAAACUCACCCUAGUUACCACAUUUACACAAAGUCUUCAGCCCCCACAAAUACCUCAACAUGAGUAAUAUACCACUUAUAUAUCAUCGGAUUUCACAUCAAACAAGAUUUACAUGUGGAAACCCAAAAUGAACCCUCCAGAUCUACAUCCUCAGACCCAAUACAACACAAUCCCUGAUU
rnacentral:lncRNA from 1 species